UACGGAGGGUGCGAGCGUUAAUCGGAAUUACUGGGCGUAAAGAGUGCGUAGGUGGUUAGAUAAGUUAUGUGUGAAAUCCCUGGGCUUAACCUGGGCAGGUCAUAUAAUACUGUUUGACUCGAGUAUGGGAGAGGGUAGUGGAAUUUCCGGUGUAGCGGUGAAAUGCGUAGAGAUCGGAAGGAACACCAGUGGCGAAGGCGGCUACCUGGCCUAAUACUGACACUGAGGCACGAAAGCGUGGGGAGCAAACAGG
rnacentral:rRNA from 1 species